UGCCAUCUUACAUGCUGUUGCAUGCUACCUG
rnacentral:piRNA from 1 species